GAUUAAGUGUCGUAAGGGCAUUUGGUGGAUGCCUUGGCAUGCACAGGCGAUGAAGGACGUGAUACGCUGCGAAAAGCCGUGGGGAGCUGCGAAUGAGCUUUGAUCCAUGGAUCUCCGAAUGGGGCAACCCACCUUAAAUACCUAGAAAAUCUGUUUUGUUGCUUUGGUUGCGAGGGACUUCCUUCGUAGCGCAAAGCGCGUCGCCGGUCGUCCGGCGCGCCGUCCGCAGGCCUUCGGCCGUGAGGACAAAACAGGUUUCUAGGUAUUGUUAUAAGGUAUCUGCACCUGAAUAAAAUAGGGUGUAAGAAGCGAACGCAGGGAACUGAAACAUCUAAGUACCUGCAGGAAAGGACAUCAACCGAGACUCCGCA
rnacentral:rRNA from 1 species